GGCGGGGCUCGCCGCGCCGGUGCCGGCCACGGCCUUCAAAGCCGCUCGGGGCGGGUCGAGAGGCUCGCCCGGUGGGUUCGACUCCCAUGCCUCGCCGCCA
rnacentral:tRNA from 1 species